CCUACGGGUGGCAGCAGUGGGGAAUAUUGCGCAAUGGGGGCAACCCUGAUGCAGCAACGCCGCGUGAGCGAUGAAGUAUUUCGGUAUGUAAAGCUCUAUCAGCAGGGAAGAAAAUGACGGUGCCUGACUAGGAAUACGCGGCUACCUACGAACCAGCAGCCGCGGUAAUACGAAGGGGGCAAGCGUUAUCCGGCUUUACUGGGUGGAAGGGGAGCGUAGACGGUGGGGCAAGUCAGAUGUGAAAGCCCGGGGCUCAACCCCGGGACUGCAUUUGGAACUGUAAGUCUAGAGUGCUGGAGAGGCAGGCGGAAUUCCGAGUGUAGCGGUGAAAUGCGUAGAUAUUCGGAGGAACACCAGUGGCGAAGGCGGACUGCUGGACGGUGACUGACGUUGAGGCUCGAAAGCGUGGGGAGCAAACAGGAUUAGAUACCCCAGUAGUC
rnacentral:rRNA from 1 species